rnacentral:lncRNA from 1 species
CAUCCCCAGCCCUAUUUGGUAUUUUAUUUAGAGACAGGGUCUCACUGAGUUGCGCUUCACGUUACUGAAGCUGGCUUUGAACUUGCGACCCUCCUGUCUCAGCCUCCCUAGCCUCUGGGAUUACAGGCGUGCAUCACUGUGCCCGGCCACUUUUAACAAUUUUGAAAUAACCUCCCCAGGUGAAAAAUAGAAUCUUGCCAGUCACCUCAGAAGUUCUACAACUGUUGCGUCCUGAUCACAAUCCUCUGCUUCCCCCACAAGAAAACCAUCUUAACUUUUUUUUUUCAAACAAGCAUUUUUUGUUAUGCUAUAUAAUACUCUGGUUUUUCCUUAGAUUACAUAAGUCUUUCUCCUUUUAUUAUGGUAUAUAUAAAAUGUCAAAUGCCUUAAUCUUAAAGGUAUAAUUUUGUGUGUUUUGUCAAGUGUGUACCUCUACAGCCAACAAUCAAAAACACCAGCAUUUUUGCAUCCCAGAAGGAGUGCCUCUCUGAUGAAUAUACUUCACCCAUCCCAGGAAGUAGACACUGAUCUACCAUCUGUUAACAUAGAUGUCACACAGUGGUGCACACCAGGAACCCCAGCUACUUCAGAGGCUGAGGCAGAAGCAUUGCAAGUUUGAGGCCAGUCUGGGCAGGGAGAGCCAAAG